rnacentral:rRNA from 2 species
GCUGGCGGCGUGCUUAACACAUGCAAGUCGAGCGGUAAGGCCCUUCGGGGUACACGAGCGGCGAACGGGUGAGUAACACGUGAGCAACCUGCCCCUGACUCCGGGAUAAGCCGGGGAAACCCGGUCUAAUACCGGAUAGGGACGCCUCGUCGCAUGGCGGGGUGUGGAAAGGUUUUUUCCGGUCAGGGAGGGGCUCGCGGCCUAUCAGCUUGUUGGUGGGGUGAAGGCCUACCAAGGCGAUUACGGGUAGCCGGCCUGAGAGGGCGACCGGCCACACUGGGACUGAGACACGGCCCAGACUCCUACGGGAGGCAGCAGUGGGGAAUAUUGCGCAAUGGGCGGAAGCCUGACGCAGCGACGCCGCGUGGGGGAUGACGGCCUUCGGGUUGUAAACCUCUUUUACCACCGACGCAGGCCCGCGCUUCUGUGCGGGUUGACGGUAGGUGGGGAAUAAGGACCGGCCAACUACGUGCCAGCAGCCGCGGUAAUACGUAGGGUCCGAGCGUUGUCCGGAAUUAUUGGGCGUAAAGAGCUCGUAGGUGGUGUGUCGCGUCUGCUGUGUAAGUCCGGGGCUUAACUCCGGUUUUGCAGUGGAUACGGGCAUGCUAGAGGUAGGCAGGGGAGACUGGAAUUCCUGGUGUAGCGGUGAAAUGCGCAGAUAUCAGGAGGAACACCGGUGGCGAAGGCGGGUCUCUGGGCCUUACCUGACGCUGAGGAGCGAAAGCGUGGGGAGCGAACAGGAUUAGAUAC